AAAAUUAUACUUUCAAGGAUCAUUUCUAUAGUUUGUUACUAGAGAAGUUUCUCUGAAUGUGUAGAGCACCUGAAACCAUGAGGAGGAGGUGCAGUGUUCUCACCUGAGCGUGAAGCUGACUUUUGGUGUUGCUUUUGCAACUGCCAAUAGCCAUUGAUGAUCAUUCUUCUCUUCCUUUGGAAUAGUAAGAAGGAGAGAACACAGUCUAAGUGGG